rnacentral:piRNA from 1 species
UGAGCCAAGCCUGUCACCCGAAC